rnacentral:rRNA from 1 species
GACGAACGCUGGCGGCGUGCUUAACACAUGCAAGUCGAACGGAAAGGCCCUGCUUUUGUGGGGUGCUCGAGUGGCGAACGGGUGAGUAACACGUGAGUAGCCUGCCCUUGACUUUGGGAUAACUUCAGGAAACUGGGGCUAAUAUCGGAUAGGAGCUCCUGCUGCAUGGUGGGGGUUGGAAAGUUUCGGCGGUUGGGGAUGGACUCGCGGCUUAUCAGCUUGUUGGUGGGGUAGUGGCUUACCAAGGCUUUGACGGGUAGCCGGCCUGAGAGGGUGACCGGCCACAUUGGGACUGAGAUACGGCCCAGACUCCUACGGGAGGCAGCAGUGGGGAAUAUUGCACAAUGGGCGGAAGCCUGAUGCAGCAACGCCGCGUGCGGGAUGACGGCCUUCGGGUUGUAAACCGCUUUCGCCUGUGACGAAGCGUGAGUGACGGUAAUGGGUAAAGAAGCACCGGCUAACUACGUG